AGUGAACGCUGGCGGUAGGCCUAACACAUGCAAGUCGAACGGCAGCACAGUAAGAGCUUGCUCUUACGGGUGGCGAGUGGCGGACGGGUGAGGAAUACAUCGGAAUCUACUUUUUCGUGGGUGAUAACGUAGGGAAACUUACGCUAAUACCGCAUACGACCUACGGGUUAAAUCAGUGGAUCUUCGGACCUUGCGCGAUUGAAUGAGCCGAUGUCGGAUUAGCUAGUUGGCUGGGUAAAGGCCCACCAAGGCGACGAUCCGUAGCUGGUCUGAGAGGAUGAUCAGCCACACUGGAACUGAGACACGGUCCAGACUCCUACGGGAGGCAGCAGUGGGGAAUAUUGGACAAUGGGCGCAAGCCUGAUCCAGCCAUACCGCGUGGGUGAAGAAGGCCUUCGGGUUGUAAAGCCCUUUUGUUGGGAAAGAAAAGCAGCAGGUUAAUACCCCGCUGUUCUGACGGUACCCAAAGAAUAAGCACCGGCUAACUUCGUG
rnacentral:rRNA from 1 species